AGAGCACGUGUCUGCGCAUGGGGCUGGUUUUAGCACUGAAUCUCCUUAUUUACCAGGAGCUUCACAGAAACAAGUUUAGGAACUCAGGGUGCUUAAUUACUAAAUUCUUUUGCAUGUACAAAUUGAAGCUUACCGAUGAUGGAUUGAAGCUAAAAGAGCUGAUGUGAGGAUUUUCUUCUCCUAUCUUCCCUUCUCCUCUCUUUUUCUUUCUGUUUUUAAAGGGGGGAAUUCGUGUUAAUCACGAGCUAGUUAUCUUGUUUCUCUCUUGCAAAUCGAAACCUAAAGAACCCAAAAUCCUUCUUCGAGAAAUCACCAGUUUUAUAAGAUGCAUCUCGUUACUAUGGUGAUUUGGGGUGUAUUCUUGAGUUUGGAACAACAAAACAGGUUGGAGAAACUUCUUAUUCUUAAUUUUAGGUUGAUUUUAUCAUGCCCUAGAUCCAUAUUCACUAGUGAAACUAUUCUUUGAUUGAAAAAGGAGUAGUUCAUCUAAAUAUUGUGUUUUAUUAGUUUGAGUUUUGAUUUGUUGGAACUCCUUGUUAACUUAUCUUACAUGAUUAAACCUAACUUGAAUUUCGAAUUUCUGUUUUUUCUGACUACCAAAAAAUAUAUGCAUUGUUUGAACUGCAAAGUGAAAUUCAGACGUUAGAUGUUUGUGAUUUUUGGAUAUGUUACUCUUAGAUAUAUCCGGAAAACUCGUUUAAAUGUUCAGGAUGAUCGGACAUGGGGAAGUAGCAUAAACUUCUGAAUUACAGAGAAGUAUAGUACAGAAUUUUCUUAACCUGACAGAGUUUUGAGAAUUAAAAUGGGGUACUUGGAUUGCAUGGAUUUGUUUGAUUUUUGGAUAUGAAGAACCCAUUUUUGUAAUGAUUAAUCUGUAAAAAUUUCAAGACAAAUUAAUCAAGGUAAGUACUCAACUAAAGCUAGACUCCAUGGUGCUUUACUUGUUAAAUUCUUAGGAUUUUAUAAGAAACCCAAUAAUGGGUGGUCGGAGCUUUUAAAUUUAAGUCUGCAUGCCAAAAUUUGGUGCUUAGUACAAGAUUACAUCUACUUGAAAUUACUAGCAUAUUGAAUGUGAAUGGUCAUAAGUAGAAAUGAUGAUGUAUGGAUGUAGUACAAACAAUUUACAGAGCUACUUGUUUUCUGUUUUUAUUGUGCACUGUAACUGUUUGUGAAUUUGUCUAAAGGACCUAAACGGCAUAGCUAAUGGGUAUAUGAUGGUAUAUCUUUGUCUUCUGGUCAUGAACGGGUUCACUAAUGGACAUAUAUAUUUAGUUUCUAUAAUUGGGUUGUAGACACAAUUCCUAUGAUUAUACUUUGUGGUGUAUAAGUUGUUUUUCCUUCCUUUCACUAUUGGUCUUAUAGCUUCGUUAGUGCGUUCUAUAAUAUUAUAUUGGUGCUCCACCAGCUUCACAAAUAGGUACAUGUGAAUUUCUUAAGUUGGGUUGCUGCUAAUUCUAAUAUGCAAAUGAACUAUUUUGAAAUCUUAUUUCUUUUAACCAUCCUGGGGAAGGAAUGCUGCUCGUAGUUGUUCUUAGUCGGAGGUGCUUUUAUACCUCGUUAAAUGUUGUGCCAGAGCUUGGCGAUGAAAUGAGCUGGUAAAUGUAACCACCACUUGUCUCAUUGGCAUUGUGUCAAGUAUGUCGUCCCCUUUUCUUUAUGAAAUCUGGUGCAAAUGGGUGUAUGAAGAACUGUCGUGGAACUCUUUGGCCGGAUCAUUAUGUACUAGCAGGUCUUUGCAUAUUUAUAUUAUCCCUGUCAGAUUUCUUAUUUGUGUAUCAACUUCCUAUUCUAUCUGUAAUGAUUUUCGUAGGCUGGUAAAAUGAAAAGAGUAAGAUAUAGAUUUUGGUUUGACUUGGUUACCCUCGAUAUUUUAGUUUGUUAGCUAAUCACUCACUUUGAUUCCCCUCUAAACUCAGUGAUGUGAACUUUAUGGUAUAUAUGACUCAUGGGUCUGAACUGGAGGGGUAAAAAUGCACCAUUUUGGUAUAUACAAAAUGUAUAGUGUUGGAUUAUUUCUUCUCUGACUUCUGUAGAAUCUGUACUCUGUACUCAUGAGAUUGAUUUUCUAUAGACAAUUGAAAGAAUGGAAACUCGGCCUAUUAUUCAAAAAGGAUAUGGGAUUCUUCAGAGAUGCUAUCUAGAACAUUUUUCUUAGGACGCCUCGGCUAGAGUUCCGCCGACAGGAUUAUGAAUGAACACAAUUUUUACUUGAGUGGCGUAUCAGAGAGUCGGACCUUGUAAGCGAGUCGAAACCCAACCCGUUGGGAGCAAAAACUCUCUGGUCCGUUACAGGGUUUCAAGCAGAAAAUGAAGGAGAUAAAAUGGAAGGAUAAAAUGGAAGGAUAUAAAUACCAUACGGAUUUGAGGCAAUCAUAACUAUAAGUCUCUGCGAGCUUGCAAAUGAAUGAGAUGAAGAUGAAGGAGAACUUAAAAGAUAAAGUGAAGAAAUAAAGAGGGCCAAAAAAAAGAUGGUUGACUCGAUAUAUUUCGACCCAUUUUUCCCGAGUAUGACACAGCACGGUAUACCCAUAUAACCUAUCCUAACCUAACUAUUACUAGCUCAACCAUGGAGGUUAGAUAGGUAAAAAGGUGAAUAACUCACUCGGCCGGUCCACCCCAUUCUCCAACGCGCACAUAAUUGAGGCUUUUUCACGAGUGACCUUUGGACGAAAUAUGUUUUUUAUUUUUUUUUAUUUUCCGUUACAUUGGCAUGAGACCAAAAAAACUAAGCAACAACUCUCACUCCUCUAGUGACUGCUCUACCAACAAGAUCCGCUCUAAUAAAAUGUCUAAUAUCAUCAGGUGGUUGAUGUAUCCACAGUCCACACGCCCUCCAUCUCAUUUGAUGCGCCUCUUUUGGCUAUAAAGUCAGCCACAUAAUUAGCGUCCUUGUAUCUCUGUUGAAAAGAAACAACUUCAAAAUAGUUUGACAAGGCCUCGAUGUCAUUGACUAAAUGCGCAUUAUCCAAGGAACCUGCACCUUCAUCUUGCAUAAUUGAAUAGCAUAAGUUGAAUCACUUUCAAUCUCCAGCUUCUUGAUUCCAAUCUCUUUUCCCAGAAUCAUUCCAUUUCUUAUCGCCCAAACUUUCGUCAUAUUAUUGUCAUCAUGUAAAUGUGCUUUGCAAAACAAGCCAGGAACCCGCCAUUAUCUCCGCAAAGAAUCCCUCCAAUACCAACCAGGCCCUCCUGGUUAGAAGCUUCAUCACAGUUCAGUUUUGCAAAUCCAUGUUUGGGGUAAAGCCAAGGAACAUGCACAUCUAUGAUUAUGUACUUUAACAUGUCUCUGAUGGUCAGUAACAUUAAGAAACUCUCUUGCAUCUCUCAAAGCUCUUGCUAGAACUUUCAUCGGUUGGAACCUUAUUCCUUUGAAUAUAUAAUCAUUUCGUCCUCUCCAGAUCGACCACAGAAUAAAUGGGAGCACAUAUAUCCAAUCAACAUCACCAAUCUUUCCUUUAAAUUUGCACCAAUUCUUGAGCAGAGUGGGAGUCAUGAAAUCAGCAGCCGGUUGGAAUCAUAUCCAGCUCUGAAUCUUCCUCUACAAGGGACCAACAACUCUGCAAUUGAAAAAAAGAUGGUGAAGGGUUUCAAAGUCAUUGUCACAAAGCCUACACCCUGGAUGAUUAGUAAUAUUCCAGAGCUUUGCUUUUUUUUUUCUUUUUUUUUUUUUGCAGGAACAAAAAUGCCAUCAUUGAGAGGGAUCAUCAAAAAAAUCUGGCCCGGGCACCGGAUGCCUGAUGAUGCUUCCAAUAGUGGCGCCCCUAUGUUUCCAAUUCUCUCUUUAUAUGCACACCCUUGACCCUUUCCAUGGGCAGCUAGCUAGCCAAAGCCAACACACCAGAAACUUCACAAUGACAUUUCAUAUCUUAAAUGGUUGCUUUUGAGUUUCAGCUAUUCCAAAGUACAUCUCCCACCUCUAUAAAGCCUCCAAGGGGAAAUCCAAACUCUAAAGAAACCUCUUCAAAAACUAGAUAUAUGUGACUAGUGACUUCAUCUUCCCUGGUAUUGAAGUUCAAGAACUUUAAAAUCUGGCCUAGGGUUUGAUCACAUUCUCUUUGCAGUAGCAGUCUUUAUUGUGCUAGAGAAAGAUACCGUCUUACUCUUGGUCAAAACGGAAGAGUCACUGUAUUCAUACGAAGCAGAGCAGUGGAAAAAGGAGAAACGUGAAGGAGGUUUGUUAAAAGCAGUCGAAAGGGAAGUGAGGAACAUGGCAGAACUAAGCAUGGGAUUGCUCAUUGAGAUUGUUGAUGAAGAAUGGAUGAGAGAUACACUCCCAGAUGAUGAUCUUCUGUUACCUUCUGUGUUGGAAGCUCGGACCGAUGACAGUGAAGAUACUAAUCAAGAGACUCAACCAGUGGAUGGAGAUACAUGGCAUGAUCUUGCCCUAGGAAAUGUACCAUAAGCAUCCUUUUACAGUUAUGCAGUCCGUGCAGUAGCUAAGGAAGAGCAACUUGUGUUAUGUAGCAUUGUGUAGUUUGAAGUGCGACUCUCAUAAGGACCUGCCAAACCUUUUAUCAACUAGUGGUUAUUUCUUAAACGAAUUGCAUUUCAAUGUAUUCCUAUUUUCAAAGAGUUGUUUAACAUGCCAAAGAAAUAAACAGAGCAGGUUUUGUGAUUCA